rnacentral:rRNA from 1 species
AUUGAACGCUGGCGGCAGGCUUAACACAUGCAAGUCGAGCGAGCGGCGGAAGGGUGUGUAAUGUCUGGGAAUCUGCCUGAUGGCGGGGGAUAACUACUGGAAACGGUAGCUAAUACCGCAUACCAUCAGAUGUGCCCAGAUGGGAUUGGCUAGUAGGUGGGGUAAUGGCUCACCUAGGAGACGAUCCCUAGCUGGUCUGAGAGGAUGACCGGCCACACUGGAACUGGGACACGGUCCAGACUCCUACGGGAGGCAGCAGUGGGGAAUAUUGCACAAUGGGCGCAAGCCUGAUGCAGCCAUGCCGCGUGUGUGAGGAAGGCCUUCGGGUUGUAAAGCACUUUCAGCGAGGAGGCGUUACUCGCAGAGGAAGCACCGGCUAACUCCGUGCCAGCAGCCGCGGUAAUUC